GAUCCUGGCUCAGGAUGAACGCUAGCUACAGGCUUAACACAUGCAAGUCGAGGGGCAGCAUGAACUUAGCUUGCUAAGUUUGAUGGCGACCGGCGCACGGGUGAGUAACACGUAUCCAACCUUCCGUUUACUCGAGGGAUAGCCUUUCGAAGGAAAGAUUAAUACCUGAUAGUAUGGUGAGAUUGCAUGAUAACACCAUUAAAGAUUUAUUGGUAAACGAUGGGGAUGCGUUCCAUUAGG
rnacentral:rRNA from 1 species